rnacentral:rRNA from 1 species
UACGGAAUGUGCAAACGUUAUUCGGAAUCACUGGGCUUAAAGAGUCCGUAGGCGGCUUGUUAGGUGAGGUGUGAAAUCCCCCGGCUCAACCGAGGAAUUGCGCUUCAAACCGGCAAGCUUGAGGAGGAUAGAGGUGGGCGGAACUGAUGGUGGAGCGGUGAAAUGCGUAGAUAUCGGAAGGAACACCGGUGGCGAAAGCGGCGGCGCUGGACCUCUUCUGACGCU